rnacentral:rRNA from 1 species
AGAGUUUGAUCAUGGCUCAGGAUGAACGCUAGCGGCAGGCUUAAUACAUGCAAGUCGAGGGGCAGCGCGGGUAGCAAUACCUGGCGGCGACCGGCAAACGGGUGCGGAACACGUACACAACCUUCCUUUAAGUGAGGGAUAGCCCAGGGAAACUUGGAUUAAUACCUCGUAGUAUUGUUGAAUGGCAUCAUUUGACAAUU